ACUUCCGUCUGUUCGUUCGCGGCUUUCUCUCGAUACGUUACUCUCCAGUAAGUCGUGCGUGUUGUCCCUCUAAGCUGUACGUUUUUGAUGACCAUUAUCGAUGAAUAAAUAGACUAAUGUGCUACCAGUAAUCGUGCAUUUAUCGACAACUACUACGAGAUUUUCUUGUGAGACUAACCUGGCCAGAUUGCUGAAAUACGAGCUAAUGCCAGCAGCAAGAACCUUGGGGAAGCUGAGAACUUCUACCUGAAUCUGUCUGACAUCGCUGACUACGAACUGAGAGUGCAGGCAAUGCUCUACAAAGCAGAAUUCCAUGAACGAUACACUGACGCAUCUGAGCAUUUGGAGAAAGUGAUUGAAACCUGCGAGUUCCUCAUCAAUGAUUGCAGUUCUUGUAGCUCAUCCAGCAACUUGGUAAUAAACUAAAUGCUGGAACAUAUGCUGGUAACGCAGCUGCGAUCAAGAUCAGCUCUCUGGCAAUGCUGGUUGACACGAGAGCCAAUAAGCCAAACAUCUCAUUUCUGCACUAUGUGGUUGAUGUGGCUGCAUCCAAUGAUGCCAGUAAGCUAGAAUUCAGAAGCAAGGUUGCCGAUUUCCAGAGAAUGCCAAAGACACCGUUUGCAGCACUUGAAGAAGUGAAUUCGUUGGUGGAGGGAGAAAAAUGACAUCAGCAAAAGAUUCAAAUCGAGCAAAGUAUCUUCUCAAUUCGGUGGACACCGUUUGCAGCCCUUGAAGAGGAAGUAAAUUCAUUGGUGGAGGGAGUUGAAGACAUCAGCAAAAGAAUCAAAUCGAGCAAAGUGUCUUCUCAAUUCGGUGGUAAGUUUCACACCCUACAAAUAUACCAUCCAUCCAUUGAUUGUAUUGAAAUUUUUGGACUCACAAUAUGAACAUACAAUUUCAAAUCGACUGUAGGAGAAGUCGAAACAAUUUCCAAUUUAUGGUAUGAGAAGCCUAUACUGUGUUGGUGUUUAUAAUAACAAUUAUCCCAAUUGAAAAGUAAUAAUAGCUAGCAUUGUCAAAUAUCAAGAGUGGUAUGCUAUAUGAUAAAUGAGUGAUAAUACAAUUACAAACCGAUUAAAUUAUUUGUAUUCUACCUGUAAUUCAACAAUAUUAACAGUGGUAACCUUUGGUGUACAAACAGUAGGAAUGAGUCUGAAAAAUAUUUCAUAUCCUAAGCCUAAACUUCGAAAUUUUAGAAUAAUACUUGAAGAGCCUAUCAAACAUGUAACUUAUUUUAUUGUUUGCUUAGUAUAGAAAAAGUAACGCAUUUAUGUUUUCAUUAUUGAUCAAUUAAAUGUGUCUUACACAUUGAAUACAUUAUGUAUUAAUAGAAUUUAUAUAAAUCGUGUAGUAAAUUAUUUAUUAUUUAUAUUACGGUAACGAUGUUCAUAUGUUCAUAGAAAUGAGGCUAAAAUAUUAAAUUAAAAGUAAUCGAUUUCUUUAAUAGCUUUUAUUAAAAAAAUAGGUGAUAAGUGAAUACUGUUGCUCAUACAAGUUUUGUACUUCUUUUAGUAAUAAUUGAUCAAUAAAAUAAUAUAUUAAAUCGUUAUAACUUUCACACCAAUUUAUUUAUAUUCAAUUAAUGUCAAUAUUUGAUACUGCACUCAAUGCUCAAUAAUUUUUUUAUGAUAAAUAAACUAUUUUCUUAUUUAA
rnacentral:misc_RNA from 1 species